UACGUAGGGGGCAAGCGUUGUCCGGAUUUAUUGGGCGUAAAGAGCGUGUAGGCGGCUUUACAGGUCCGUUGUGAAAACUCGAGGCUCAACCCUGGAAUGCCGGUGGAUACUGCCGGGCUGGAGUCCGGAAGAGGCGAGUGGAAUUCCUGGUGUAGCGGUGAAAUGCGCAGAUAUCAGGAGGAACACCAAUGGCGAAGGCAGCUCGCUGGGACGGUACUGACGCUGAGACGCGAAAGCGUGGGGAGCAAACAGG
rnacentral:rRNA from 1 species